UACAGAGGUCCCAAGCGUUGUUCGGAUUCACUGGGCGUAAAGGGUGCGUAGGUGGCGAGGUAAGUCGGAUGUGAAAGCUCGGAGCUCAACUCCGAAAUGGCAUUGGAAACUACCUUGCUCGAGGGUUGGAGGGGGGACUGGAAUUCUUGGUGUAGCAGUGAAAUGCGUAGAUAUCAAGAGGAACACCAGUGGCGAAGGCGGUUCUCUGGGCCUUACCUGACGCUGAGGAGCGAAAGCGUGGGGAGCGAACAGG
rnacentral:rRNA from 1 species